CCUUCGAUAGCUCAGCUGGUAGAGCGGAGGACUGUAGUGGAAAUGUGUGCUGACAUCCUUAGGUCGCUGGUUCGAUUCCGGCUCGAAGGA
rnacentral:tRNA from 1 species